GCUCAGAGCGAACGGGAGCGGCAGGCCUAACACAUGCAAGUCGCACGAGAAAAGGGCUUCGGCCCCUCUUAAAGUGGCGGACGGGUGAGUAACACGUGGGUAAUGUACCCCUCGGCGGGGGAUAACAACCCGAAAGGGUUGCUAAUACCGCAUAUGUCGAGAGAUUUUUCAGAGUCUCUCGAGAAAGGAGGCCUCUUCAUGAAAGCUACCACCGAAGGAUCAGCCCGCGGCCCAUCAGCUAGUUGGCGGUGUAAUAGACCACCAAGGCAAAGACGGGUAGCUGGUCUGAAAGGAUGAUCAGCCACACUGGAACUGAGACACGGUCCAAACUCCUACGGGAGGCAGCAGUGGGGAAUUAUUGGGCAAUGGGCGAAAGCCUGACCCAGCCAUGCCGCGUGAGUGAUGAAGGCCUUCGGGUCGUAAAGCUCUGUGGGGAGGGAAGAAAAUACCUUGGCUAAUAUCCAAGGGAACUGACGGUACCUCCUUAGCAAGCACCGGCUAACUCCGUGCCAGCAGCCGCGGUAAUGCGGAGGGUGCAAACGUUGCUCGGAAUCAUUGGGCGUAAAGCGCACGUAGGCGGUUCGUUAAGUCGGAUGUGAAAGCCCUGGGCUCAACCCAGGAAGAGCAUUCGAAACUGGCGGACUGGAGUAUGGAAGAGGGUCGCGGAAUUCCCGGUGUAGAGGUGAAAUUCGUAGAUAUCGGGAGGAACACCAGUGGCGAAGGCGGCGACCUGGGCCAAUACUGACGCUGAGGUGCGAAAGCGUGGGGAGCAAACAGGAUUAGAUACCCUGGUAGUCCACGCCGUAAACG
rnacentral:rRNA from 1 species